rnacentral:misc_RNA from 1 species
GAUGAAGAACGUAGCGAAAUGCGAUAAGUAAUGUGAAUUGCAGAAUUCAGUGAAUCAUCGAAUCUUUGAACACACAUUGCGCCCCCUGGUAUUCCGGGGGGCAUGCCUGUCCGAGCGUCAUUACAACCCUCAAGCUCAGCUUGGUGUUGGGCCCCGCCGCCCCGGCGGGCCCUAAAGUCAGUGGCGGUGCCGUCCGGCUCCGAGCGUAGUAAUUCUUCUCGCUCUGGAGGUCCGGUCGUGUGCUCGCCAGCAACCCCCAAUUUUUUUCAGGUUGACCUCGGAUCAGGUAGGGAUACCCGCUGAACUUAAGCAUAUCAAUAAGCGGAGGA